GCGCGUGGGCUUGGCGGCGACGCGGGGGCUGGCCGGCUGGCGGCGGCGCGGGGGCUGGCCGGCUGACGGCGGCGUGCCGCUUGGCGGCGGGGAUUCUUUUUUUUUUCUUUUUUUUUCAGAUCUGGAGCUAAAAGUUUGCCAAACACUUUUGAUGGGUCUGUAACUCCAAUAGGAGCUAGCUCCAACUGGAGUAGGAGUUUGGAGCUGGGAGUUGGAGUUUGGAGCCCUACCAAACGGGGCCGUAGUACUAUGCACUCGUAGUAGUAGUAAUGGCCAAGAACACCUAACACAGCAACAGUGCAAUGCACUCGUCGGUAAAAAGCUGAAAAGAGGCUGUGAAAGUUAGACCACCGUGGUGAUUAAUCAUCAGCUAAUGGUAGCAUCUUUGCAUCAAAGAGUAUAUCCAACAGUAUCCAACUAUCAGUAGUAUCCAUGGUGGUCGUGGACCUUUGCUCCCAAAAAAAGACAUUGGAUUCGCGUGUCUUUUGACCUUGCAAUAAAGAACACAACAACACCCGGGCUCGCUGGCCAAGACCAAGAGAGCAGAAGCAGAGACCUUGGGUUUUGGAGAGACCCAAAAAAAUGAGAUGGACGGACGGAUGGAUACCGAUGGAUUUGAUAGAAAGAAAGAGCUGUCUCUGCAGUGCACACACACAUGCAUCUUUUGGGAUCUCAAGAAGAUCCAUGCAUGCAAUGCAACGAUGCAGCAAAUGAGAUGCAUUUGCAUGUGCCAGUGGCAAGCAAGCAAAGGGGCAAAGCAUAGUCUACUCCAUCUCCAUGUGACAUUUGACAUUGGAAAUCAAGAUUCCAAGCUCCAUCACACACGCCCUGUGACUACGAGCAUGUCUGUCUGGACUGCCAGUCUUGUUCUUGUCGGGUGAGAUGUGAUUAAUACUUUAAUCAUCAUGUGAUGCAGUGGCCAAUCAUGGAUGGAUUGACUUGGACAUGCCAUGUGGUGGCUUGUGAAAAGAUGGCAGGAGCACCAAUCCAUCAAUUCACAACCCAAGGAAGAGCAAGAGGAGCAGUGAGUGAUGUACACUCUGCAAUAGCUGACCCUGGAGAAGCUGGGCCUUCUUCCAUGGUGGCAGCCAUUGCCGGAUGGGGAGCAAAGCAAUGCUGGUUUUGUCCUCGUGUACAUUAGGGAUGGGCAGUUUGUAAUAACGUGAUGGUACUGUGUCCAAAGCUGCAGAUUGGCCAUGGUAUUGGCAUGGCAUGGCAUGGCAUGGCUUGUGUGUGCCUAAUUUAAGAAGCGCAUGGAAAUCAAACCAAAAUUUGGCACGGUUCAAUUGUUCAAAA